UACGGAGGGGGCGAGCGUUAUUCGGAAUUAUUGGGCGUAAAGGGCGCGUAGGCGGCCCUGCAAGUCAAAGGUGAAAUCCCUCGGCUCAACUGAGGAACUGCCUUUGAAACUGCGGGGCUUGAGGCCGGGAGGGGGUAGCGGAAUUCCCAGUGUAGCGGUGAAAUGCGUAGAUAUUGGGAGGAACACCAGUGGCGAAGGCGGCCACCUGGACCGGUUCUGACGCUGAUGCGCGAAAGCGUGGGUAGCAAACAGG
rnacentral:rRNA from 1 species